UUAGUUUUUGUAGCCUCGGCUGGCCCUUCGGCCUCUGGCAUGCUCAAACUUCCAGCCCUUGGAAUGAACAUAGGGUUUAGUAUAACUGUUUGGGGUUCCUGGGGCCUUGCCAAAAUGUUGGUACACCUCUCGGCCCUUCCGAGGACUGGACAGGAACACAGUACCUCUGCCCUUGGGAGACUCCAGGGCCAGCUGGUGAGGAUCUUACCCCCAGCCUUGAGGAUUCCACUCAGGGCCCUGCUACUCACCCACAGUGCACACACUUGGGUACUUUCAGAAUCCGCACAUCAUCUGUGACUGUUCCCACAAGGAAGCUUCAUCUUUUGGAUCAUCCGGGACAGGGACAGAGGUGGCCGGUUGGUUCGGCUCAUAACAACCUCUUCAGCACAACCUGAUUGAAAGGUGGAGUUGGUCUGUCUGGCCAAAAACCUGUACAGCUUGACUAGCAGCCUCAGGUAGAUGUCCUGGCUCUUGGGCUCCUUGCGCUGAACCUUUCGGUCCUUGUUGUGACGAAUGUCAACACCCAU
rnacentral:lncRNA from 1 species